GACGAACGCUGGCGGCGUGCUUAACACAUGCAAGUCGAACGGAAAGGCCCUGCUUUUGUGGGGUGCUCGAGUGGCGAAAGGGUGAGUAACACGUGAGUAACCUGCCCUUGAGUUUGGGAUAACUUCAGGAAACUGGGGCGAAUACCGGAUAUGAGCACCUUCUGCAUGGUGGGGGUUGGAAAGUUUCGGCGGUUGGGGAUGGACACGCGGCUUAUCAGCUUGUUGGUGGGGUAGUGGCGUACCAAGGCUUUGACGGGUAGCCGGCCUGAGAGGGUGACCGGCCACAUUGGGACUGAGAUACGGCCCAGACUCCUACGGGAGGCAGCAGUGGGGAAUAUUGCACAAUGGGCGGAAGCCUGAUGCAGCAACGCCGCGUGCGGGAUGACGGCCUUCGGGUUGUAAACCGCUUUCGCCUGUGACGAAGCGUGAGUGACGGUAAUGGGUAAAGAAGCACCGGCUAACUACGUG
rnacentral:rRNA from 1 species